rnacentral:rRNA from 1 species
GAUGAACGCUGGCGGCGUGCCUAAUACAUGCAAGUCGAGCGAACGGACGAGAAGCUUGCUUCUCUGACGUUAGCGGCGGACGGGUGUGUAACACGUGGAUAACCUCCCUAUCAGACUGGGAUAACUUCGGGAAACCGGAGCUAAUACCGGAUAAUCUUUUGAACCGCAUGGUUCAAUAGUGAAAGACGGUCUUGCUGUCACUUAUAGAUGGAUCCGCGCUGCAUUAGCUAGUUGGUAAGGUCACGGCUUACCAAGGCUACGAUGCAUAGCCGACCUGAGAGGGUGAUCGGCCACACUGGAACUGGGACACGGUCCAGACUCCUACGAGAGGCAGCAGUAGGGAAUCUUCCGCAGUGGGCGAAAACCUGACAGAGCGACGCCGCGUGAGUGAUGAAGGUCUUCGGAUCGUAAAACUCUGUUAUUAGGGAAAAACAUAUGUGUAAGUAACUGUGCACAUCUUGACGGUACCUGAUCAGAAAGCCACGGCUAACUACGUG